AUGGCCAAGAUCCAGCCUCUCGCUGCCGCCGCCUCGCUGUGUUCCUCCGAUGAUCACCGGAGGCAGCAGGGCAGGCAGCUGGCGUACACGGUGUGGAUGAAGUCGCUCGUGUUCAACGGCAACGGCUGCACGGUGUACGACCCCGACGGCGCCGUCGCCUUCCGCGUCGACAACUACGGCUGCAGGGGCGGCCGCGAGGUCUUCUUCAUGGACCGUCAGGGGAACGCACUCAUCAGGAUCAGACGCAAGGGCUUCGGCAUGUUCAGAAGGUGGGAGGUCUGUCGCUGCGCCCACAACGGCGGCCAGGAAGAGGAGGCCACGCCGUGGUUCAGCGUGCGGCGGGCCGAGAAGGGCGGGGCCACCAUGGCCAUGCACGGCGGCGCCGGGACGUGCUACACGAUCGACGGGUGCUCUGCCCGCAAGUCGGAGUACAGAGUACGUGGCGUGGAUGGCGCGGUGGUGGCGGAGGUCGCACGGAAGCAGACGGCGGCGGGGGUGGUGCUCGGGGAGGACGUGCUGACGCUGAAGGUGGCGCCGGAGGUGGAUCACCUGCUCUUCCUGGGUUUGGUCGUCGUGCGUGGCCUCAUCAACCGCUCCUUGUGA
rnacentral:rRNA from 1 species